rnacentral:rRNA from 1 species
AACAUACGCUGGCGGCGUGUCUUAAGCAUGCAAGUUGAGCGGCAAGGGGGAGCAAUCCCCCCUAGAGCGGCGGACUGGUGAGUAACACGUGGAUGAUCUACCCGAGGCAUGGGGAUAGUCACUAGAAAUAGUGGGUAAUACCGAAUACGGUGCGCAUCGUGAGGGUGCGCAAGAAAGGUGCUACGGCACCGGCCUAGGAUGGGUCUGCGUCCCAUUAGCUGGUUGGUGAGGUAAGAGCCCACCAAGGCGAUGAUGGGUAGCCGGCCUGAGAGGGUGUACGGCCACACUGGGACUGAGAUACGGCCCAGACUCCUACGGGAGGCAGCAGCUAAGAAUAUUCCGCAAUGGACGAAAGUCUGACGGAGCGACGCCGCGUGGAUGAAGAAGGCCGAAAGGUUGUAAAGUUCUUUUGUUGGGGAAGAAUAACCAUGGGAGGGAAUGCCCGUGGGAAUGACAUGAACCGACGAAUAAGCCCCGGCUAACUACGU